rnacentral:rRNA from 1 species
GACGAACGCUGGCGGCGUGCUUAACACAUGCAAGUCGAGCGAUGAAGUUCCUUCGGGAAUGGAUUAGCGGCGGACGGGUGAGUAACACGUGGGUAACCUGCCUCAUAGAGGGGAAUAGCCUUCCGAAAGGAAGAUUAAUACCGCAUAAGAUUGUAGUACCGCAUGGUAUAGCAAUUAAAGGAGUAAUCCGCUAUGAGAUGGACCCGCGUCGCAUUAGCUAGUUGGUGAGGUAACGGCUCACCAAGGCGACGAUGCGUAGCCGACCUGAGAGGGUGAUCGGCCACAUUGGGACUGAGACACGGCCCAGACUCCUACGGGAGGCAGCAGUGGGGAAUAUUGCACAAUGGGGGAAACCCUGAUGCAGCAACGCCGCGUGAGUGAUGAAGUAUUUCGGUAUGUAAACUUCGAAAGAAUGGGAAGAAUAAAUGACGGUACCAUUUAUAAGCUCCGGCUAACUACGUGCCAGCAGCCGCAGUAAGAC